rnacentral:rRNA from 1 species
AUGAUACGCGAGGAACCUUACCUGGGCUCGAACGUAAGAUGACUGUAGGUGAAAGCUUACAUCUCUUCGGAGCAUUUUACGAGGUGCUGCAUGGUUGUCGUCAGCUCGUGCCGUGAGGUGUCGGGUUAAGUCCCGCAACGAGCGCAACCCCUGCAUUCAGUUGCCAUCGGGUAAUGCCGGGCACUCUGGAAGGACUGCCAUCGACAAGAUGGAGGAAGGUGGGGAUGACGUCAAGUCAUCAUGGCCCUUAUGUCCAGGGCGACACACGUGCUACAAUGGCCGGCACAACGGGAAGCGAGUUCGCGAGGACGAGCGGAUCCCUCAAAGCCGGUCGCAGUUCGGAUUGAAGUCUGCAACUCGACUUCAUGAAGCUGGAAUCGCUAGUAAUCGUGGAUCAGCCAAGCCGCGGUGAAUACGUUCCCGGGCCUU